GGCUGGUCCGAAGGUAGUGAGUUAUCUCAACUGAUUGUUCACAGUCAGUUACAGAUCAAACUCCUUGUUUCACUCUUUCCCCCCUUCUCACUACUACACUUGGCUAGUCUUUA
ensembl:misc_RNA Y_RNA Y RNA